rnacentral:lncRNA from 1 species
GGGGGCUGAGAAUGAUUUUUUUCUCUGAGCGGAGCAAGGCAAAAUGUUUUGGACCUUAUUUUUGCCAAAAAACAUAAAAUAGAUAUGAAAUGCACUACAGUGGUAAUGUAAUGGUUCCUGAUUUGGAGCAUGGAUAUUUUGUUAUUAAAGUGUCAGGGUUUGACAUUUUUUAUGCCUAAUUCUCUCCAUUAGUUGUCUAUGGUAUACUAAAAUGAUUAGAUGGAUCUUAACAGCAGAAGACCAUUAACGAAAAAUUCCAAUAAAAACGAUUAGUUCUAAAUAUUGUAGGUUUUAAUGUUGAAAACAUGAUUGAAUAGGGAAAA